rnacentral:rRNA from 1 species
CAGUAGCCGCGGUAAUACGUAGGGUGCGAGCGUUAAUCGGAAUUACUGGGCGUAAAGCGUGCGCAGGCGGUUCGUUAAGACAGAUGUGAAAUCCCCGGGCUUAACCUGGGAGCUGCAUUUGUGACUGGCGAGCUAGAGUAUGGCAGAGGGGGGUAGAAUUCCACGUGUAGCAGUGAAAUGCGUAGAGAUGUGGAGGAAUACCGAUGGCGAAGGCAGCCCCCUGGGCCAAUACUGACGCUCAUGCACGAAAGCGUGGGGAGCAAACAGGAUUAGAGACCCGCGUAGUCCCUGUCUCUUAUAC